GGGAAUUUAGACGGAAUUUUAUCAUUUUAUAAUUAAUCAAAAUAAUAUUGUGGUUUUUUUUAAUUGUGAAUCUUGAAGACGGUAAAAUCCGAUAGUUGGAAUUGUUAGCAAAAACAUUGAUCGAUAGUGUUCGAAAUCGAUCACUUAAUAGAUUUUAUCAGAUACAUUUAAGAAAUAUUUGAUCACAGGAUUAUUAGGGAUAUCAAAAAUUCUUAUGCAUAGUAUAUGUUCUGCACCCCCCCCCCCCUAUUUAGUAUUUUAUCGAAAAUAGGCCUUGGACCCCAACCACACACACCUAAAAAACUAAAAUCUUCCUUCAGACCCGCACUAGAACAUAUUUUAUAUCCGUGAAUGCAUCCCCUCAUCCAUUAAUUGACUAUUUUUGUAAUGUUAGAAUAUGCAUCAUCGAUCAUGAGUACAAUGAUUGAAUGAAUUUCUGAAACUGUGAAAUACUCUACCCAAUAUUGAUAUCAAGUUAUCAAACUAUUUGAAAAUUUGUUUUAUUUAUUUUUCUUUUGUUGUUGUUUUUAAGGUCUUCCGUUUUCAACGGAAGACCUUACUAUUAUUCUGAAAAAUUUUCAAAUUAUUUUUUUUUUUCUUCUAGACGCCAACUUUGAUCCUUAAUAUCUCGCUCGUUUGUUCACCGAUUGUUUUGAAAUUUUCAGGACUGAUAACAUGCCGCGUGAUGUUGUCGUUGCAUAUUUUAGUUGAGGAAAAUCCCCAUCCGGUUUUGAGUUAUUCCCCUUUUAGUAAAAUUUAACGACUUCUUUUGUCCAGGGGGGUUUAGCUAUAACGAUAACUGGCAGAGUCUCAAAGAUGGGCUGGUUUGGAAGCUAAUACAUUGAAUUUGUGCGAGAUAUAUUUUAAUUAUUAUUUAAAUGCAAAUAAAAGGGGUGGUAUAGAUGUUGAAACAAAGGUAAGAAAAAAAUUCAAAAAAAUUCGCGUAUUUUCCGUGUUAGUUUUUUACCUGAUAAAAAUUUGUUAUAACAUGUAUUUUUAAAGAUCUUGGUCUUACCAAGACCUUUCAUUCGGUAUACAGAAAAAGGGGCUGGCCCCUAUAAUUAGGGAGUUAGAUGCGUCAAAAGUUUCUUGUCAAUAACUUGUAAAGGAAUAAAAAUUUCUAAUGCAUUAUUGAAGCAAAGUUGUAAAGAAAUUAAUCUUAAAUCCUUCCGUGGUAUUCAAUUUAAUGUUUUCGUAAUUUAUAGCCAGUAUUUGCAGAAACAAUUGUUGUCAGUUCGGUCCAUUUUUGUGGGGGUGUGCACGUUUAGGAGGUUAUGAAAGGGCUUUUUGUAAUGCACUAACUGAUACAUGCAGCGCGCAAAAAUAAUUCUACGUAAAGUUCCCAAAUGUUUUUAUUCAUAUGUACAUAUUCAUUUCAUAAUGAUGAACCUCUUUGACCUUAUUUUUGUUGUUUGUUUCAUAACUGUGCCCCUUUCUAUAUUUAGAUGCAUUACGUGACUCAGGUAACCGAUCGAUAGAAGAGUCGCUAGCUGUAUUCAGGCCGUCGCCUUGACGACAGUGCAUAUGCUUGUAGAGCUGGACGUACACAUGUUUAACGCCCCACUGUGUUACUGUAACAGAGACAUUUUGAAUUGUUUCAGUACUGGGAGAUGUGUUAAUAAAAUGGUUCGAAUGCAUGGU
rnacentral:sRNA from 1 species